rnacentral:tRNA from 2 species
GGGCCCGUAGCUCAAGCGGUCAGAGCAGCGGACUCAUAAUCCGUUGGUUGCAGGUUCGAGUCCUGCCGGGCCCA